AUUAGAGUUUGAUCUGGCUCAGGACGAACGCUGGCGGCGUGCCUAAUACAUGCAAGUCGAACGAACUCUGGUAUUGAUUGGUGCUUGCAUCAUGAUUUACAUUUGAGUGAGUGGCGAACUGGUGAGUAACACGUGGGAAACCUGCCCAGAAGCGGGGGAUAACACCUGGAAACAGAUGCUAAUACCGCAUAACAACUUGGACCGCAUGGUCCGAGUUUGAAAGAUGGCUUCGGCUAUCACUUUUGGAUGGUCCCGCGGCGUAUUAGCUAGAUGGUGGGGUAACGGCUCACCAUGGCAAUGAUACGUAGCCGACCUGAGAGGGUAAUCGGCCACAUUGGGACUGAGACACGGCCCAAACUCCUACGGGAGGCAGCAGUAGGGAAUCUUCCACAAUGGACGAAAGUCUGAUGGAGCAACGCCGCGUGAGUGAAGAAGGGUUUCGGCUCGUAAAACUCUGUUGUUAAAGAAGAACAUAUCUGAGAGUAACUGUUCAGGUAUUGACGGUAUUUAACCAGAAAGCCACGGCUAACUACGUGCCAGCAGCCGCGGUAAUACGUAGGUGGCAAGCGUUGUCCGGAUUUAUUGGGCGUAAAGCGAGCGCAGGCGGUUUUUUAAGUCUGAUGUGAAAGCCUUCGGCUCAACCGAAGAAGUGCAUCGGAAACUGGGAAACUUGAGUGCAGAAGAGGACAGUGGAACUCCAUGUGUAGCGGUGAAAUGCGUAGAUAUAUGGAAGAACACCAGUGGCGAAGGCGGCUGUCUGGUCUGUAACUGACGCUGAGGCUCGAAAGUAUGGGUAGCAAACAGGAUUAGAUACCCUGGUAGUCCAUACCGUAAACGAUGAAUGCUAAGUGUUGGAGGGUUUCCGCCCUUCAGUGCUGCAGCUAACGCAUUAAGCAUUCCGCCUGGGGAGUACGGCCGCAAGGCUGAAACUCAAAGGAAUUGACGGGGGCCCGCACAAGCGGUGGAGCAUGUGGUUUAAUUCGAAGCUACGCGAAGAACCUUACCAGGUCUUGACAUACUAUGCAAAUCUAAGAGAUUAGACGUUCCCUUCGGGGACAUGGAUACAGGUGGUGCAUGGUUGUCGUCAGCUCGUGUCGUGAGAUGUUGGGUUAAGUCCCGCAACGAGCGCAACCCUUAUUAUCAGUUGCCAGCAUUAAGUUGGGCACUCUGGUGAGACUGCCGGUGACAAACCGGAGGAAGGUGGGGAUGACGUCAAAUCAUCAUGCCCCUUAUGACCUGGGCUACACACGUGCUACAAUGGAUGGUACAACGAGUUGCGAACUCGCGAGAGUAAGCUAAUCUCUUAAAGCCAUUCUCAGUUCGGAUUGUAGGCUGCAACUCGCCUACAUGAAGUCGGAAUCGCUAGUAAUCGCGGAUCAGCAUGCCGCGGUGAAUACGUUCCCGGGCCUUGUACACACCGCCCGUCACACCAUGAGAGUUUGUAACACCCAAAGUCGGUGGGGUAACCUUUUAGGAACCAGCCGCCUAAAGGUGGGACAGAUGAUUAGGGUGAAGUCGUAACAAGGUAGCCGUAGGAGAACCUGCGGCUGGAUCACCUCCUUA
rnacentral:rRNA from 2 species